rnacentral:rRNA from 1 species
GUGUCAGCCGCCGCGGUAAUACGUAGGAUCCUAGCGUUGUCCGGAUUUACUGGGUGUAAAGGGUGCGCAGGCGGACUUAUAAGUCAGUGGUGAAAUCUCGGCGCUUAACGCCGAAACUGCCUUUGAUACUAUAAGUCUUGAGUUUGGUAGAGAUCCGUGGAAUUCCGAGUGUAGCAGUGAAAUGUGUAGAUAUUCGGAAGAACACCAGCGGCGAAGGCAGCGGAUUGGGCCAAUACUGACGCUCAGGCACGAAAGCAUGGGGAUCAAACAGGAUUAGAUACCCGCGUAGUCC